GUUUCGGUGGUCAUAGCGUGAGGGAAACGCCCGGUUACAUUCCGAACCCGGAAGCUAAGCCUUACAGCGCCGAUGGUACUGCAGG
rnacentral:rRNA from 5 species